GGCCCGCUAGCAUCAACUGGAAAGAGCGCUGGUUUUCUACCCUAGAGGUUCCCGGUUCGAGUCCGGGGCGGGCCACCA
rnacentral:tRNA from 1 species